UACGUAGGGGGCUAGCGUUGUCCGGAUUUAUUGGGCGUAAAGAGCGUGUAGGCGGCCAGACAGGUCAGCUGUGAAAACUCGAGGCUCAACCUCGAGACGUCGGUUGAAACCGUCUGGCUAGAGUCCGGAAGAGGAGAGUGGAAUUCCCGGUGUAGCGGUGAAAUGCGCAGAUAUCGGGAAGAACACCCGUGGCGAAGGCGGCUCUCUGGGACGGUACUGACACUGAGACGCGAAAGCGUGGGGAGCGAACAGG
rnacentral:rRNA from 1 species